rnacentral:rRNA from 1 species
UAACGUUACCAAACUGUUGCCUCGGCGGGGUCACGCCCCGGGUGCGUAAAAGCCCCGGAACCAGGCGCCCGCCGGAGGAACCAACCAAACUCUUUCUGUAGUCCCCUCGCGGACGUAUUUCUUACAGCUCUGAGCAAAAAUUCAAAAUGAAUCAAAACUUUCAACAACGGAUCUCUUGGUUCUGGCAUCGAUGAAGAACGCAGCGAAAUGCGAUAAGUAAUGUGAAUUGCAGAAUUCAGUGAAUCAUCGAAUCUUUGAACGCACAUUGCGCCCGCCAGUAUUCUGGCGGGCAUGCCUGUCCGAGCGUCAUUUCAACCCUCGAACCCCUCCGGGGGAUCGGCGUUGGGGAUCGGGACCCCUCACCGGGUGCCGGCCCUGAAACACAGUGGCGGUCUCGCCGCAGCCUCUCCUGCGCAGUAGUUUGCACAACUCGCACCGGGAGCGCGGCGCGUCCACGUCCGUAAAACACCCAACUUCUGAAAUGUUGACCUCGGAUCAGGUAGGAAUACCCGCUGAACUU